rnacentral:piRNA from 1 species
UGACACGUUUUGACAUGAAAACUGUACCUAAG